rnacentral:rRNA from 1 species
UACGUAGGUGGCAAGCGUUAUCCGGAUUUACUGGGUGUAAAGGGCGUGUAGGCGGGAAAGCAAGUCAGAUGUGAAAACCACGGGCUCAACCUGUGGCCUGCAUUUGAAACUGUUUUUCUUGAGUACUGGAGAGGCAGACGGAAUUCCUCGUGUAGCGGUGAAAUGCGUAGAUAUGAGGAGGAACACCAGUGGCGAAGGCGGUCUGCCGGACAGCAACUGACGCUGAGGCGCGAAAGCGUGGGGAGCAAACAGG